rnacentral:rRNA from 1 species
UAAUACAGAGGGUGCGAACGUUGCUCGGAAUUACUGGGCGUAAAGCGCGUGUAGGCGGAACGGAAAGUCAGAUGUGAAAUCCCCGAGCUCAACUCGGGAACUGCACCUGAAACUUCCGAUCUUGAGUACCGGAGAGGGUGGCGGAAUUCCUGGUGUAGAGGUGAAAUUCGUAGAUAUCAGGAGGAACACCGGUGGCGAAGGCGGCCACCUGGACGGUUACUGACGCUGAGACGCGAAAGCGUGGGGAGCAAACAGGAUUAGAUACCCUGGUAGUCCACGCCGUAAACGAUGGGUGCUAGGUGUCUCGGGUAUUGACCCCUGAGGUGCCGUAGCUAACGCGUUAAGCACCCCGCCUGGGAAGUACGGUCGCAAGACUA